rnacentral:lncRNA from 1 species
UUUUAUAUAUAUAUAUAAUUUUUCUUAGUGACCUUAUUACUGUCAUUCUUGUUAUUAAUGUAUGACAAGCUGACACAUUUAUAUAUAUAUAUAUAUGUACAUUUUUUGAAGCGUUAGUUACUGGAAAAACUGCAGUGCUUGUCACAUGUCAUGAGAAUCCUAGAGGUGGAGCUAAAGACAGGAAGUCAGUGGAUCCACUAGCUGUUAUGGCAGGAACAGGCCAUGGUGUGGUUGGAAUGGUGGAGGUGGUCCUGAGGAGCGUAGCGGCUGGGUUCGCCAUCGGAGAGACCGCUCUGGCUGCUGCCGAACCCUACUUGACCACAACUGGACCACUUAUGAUCACCGCCGCCCGAGCAGCAGGAGAGGUCGGCGUGGCGGGGGUGGGAGCGGUAGCCACGUGCCUGGUGUUCACUACGGCGUUGGUAUCCAUGGGAACCGGACUUCUCCUCGCCUCCAUGGUGAUGCGACUGAUGGGGAGGGAAGGAGGAGGUGGAGCUAGAGCGAAGGCGGCGGAGAUUGCUGGAGGGGUCACCAUCGCGGUGGGAGCCGUGGCAACUGGAACACUGGUGGGCGCAUUCCCCGUGUGGGGCCACUUCCUGGUCCAGUGCGUCAUGGUCCUGCUAGUGUACCGUUACACUGACGUGAAUGAGAUGACCGCGGUCCUCUCUGUUUUUUUCUCUACUCUCUACCUCAGUGUGGCGAUGGGCCGUAUGGGCGUCAUCACAGGACUAUUUACUAUGGCCAUUGCUAUCUUGUCCCUCUGUGCCCUACUGAAGGCCCUAUCAGAGAAAAGAACACAGCAGAGAGCCGAAGGAAACAGCAAAUGGUCAGAGAGGUUACUGCUAUACUCAGUUGUUGUGGCAAUAGUAGGUUUCCCUAUGGGUGUGGGGGAUACAGGUGGGUCAGGGUCAGAGGUGACUGUGAUGCUGGGGUCAGUGCUGUGGGUGGGGACCCUGGCUUCAGGACUGCUAGGAGCUGCUCUGGGAACAGUGGCUGUGGUGAGUUUGGGACCAGAGGGGGCAGCGAGGGUGGCGGUGGGGGCGGCAGUGACAUCCUCUUGUAGCCUGAGACUCAUUCUCCCAGUAUGCUCUUUUCUGGGGUCGGGGGGCAGCAUAGGGGGUCUGUUAGGGGGAGCCACGGCUGCAGGGGUUUCACUGGGGGCUGCGAGUGUCGCUGCUGGACCGGAAUUUAGAACCAGAGCGACGACACUAGUAGUUCUAGGCUCUGUAGCAGUAGGUGCGGUGCUAGGCUUCUGGGGUCUAGCACUGGGAACUGUCGUUCUGGGACCAGCAGAAAUAAUAACAGUAGCCUUUGUUGCAGUGGGGGCCUUUAUACUGGGUGCACCAAAGAGUCCGUUCCACACUCAGAUUAAACUGAGGGGUGAGGUCCUCACAGGGACCAGCCUGAUAGGAGGUAUUGGCAUGGAAACAGUAACCGCGGCUGCUGCACCUCUCGGAGCGGGGGCACUGGGAACAGCAGCGCUAGGAACUGCUGCACUGGGAAGACUGGGCACAGUAGGAGUACUGGUGGCAGCGGUAGUGGCACUGGGAAAAACGACAUGUGGAUUGGGAGCCUGAGACAGUGGCUUCCAGCAGCAGACUGUGUUAUCUCUGCUAAUUCUCUCUCUCUCUCUCUCUCUGUGUGUGUGUGUGCACGUAUUUGUACGUUACUGAGACUUUACAGAACACAUUGACAUUAUUUGCUGACAAUGGCAAGUUAAUGACCUAACAAAUCCCAAUAAACUUGAAGUAUAAAUCAA